rnacentral:tRNA from 1 species
GCCUCCAUAGCUCAGUGGUAGAGCGACUGCUUCGUAAGCAGUAGGUCGAGGGUUCAAAUCCCUCUGGAGGCU